UAUCAACAUCGGAUACAAACAAAAUAUCAAUAUACUUUUACCAAAUCUUAACAAAGUACUAAUACUUGAUAAUACUAAAUAAUGAUGAGAAACGUUUGUUGGGAAAAUGGCGUCGCGAUUUCGUUUACAUUCUAAAUGUACUUUCUGAUUAGAUCUAUUCUGUGACGGGGAAUGUUCCAGUUGUCAGAAAAAUGAUAAAACGACAAGCUCACUACAAUGGAGUUGCCAACAUUUUAACCAACCCUUUUCAAAAAAAAAAAAAAAAAAAAAAAAUCGGGUCGUACAAUAGUUUAAUUCUCGUCGUUUUACACAACCUUAUAAUAAAUAUAUUUUAUGUAUCCACAUAUCCAGUAUCAAUUUUGUAAUCACUUUUCGUUUUCUUAUUACAAAUGUUCCACAAUAUUUUAUUAUUCGUGUUGUGUUUGUGGUUGUCGAAACCGCUAGAGCAACGCAACGCAACAAUACAAUGAAGCUGUGCUGAACUGGAUAUUUUGGAUUAAAAUGUGUACAAAUGAAUAAAAGCGUACGGACAUGAAUAUAGGUCGUUGUUUAAUUCGUUUAAAAAUCGGGUCAUGAAAUAAAAUAGAUAUUUAUAGGUUAGUGGCAUAUAAAAUAAAUGGAUCAUAGCGCCAGACGUUACGUAAUUAUUACAGGAAAAAAAACACAUUGAAUAUAACAAAAAAAAAAAAAAAAAAAAAACGAUUGCGUAUCUUCGCGGGACACCGGCGUAUGACGAAUACAAUGUGUUAAAAAAAUUUAAAACAACAUUUUUUUUCCACGUCUUUCGUGUAACUGGAUUUUGAUUUGAACGUUAUCACUGUGAUAUCGGCAUUGUCGCA